rnacentral:rRNA from 1 species
UAUGUGAUCGUCUCUCGCAUAUCAAUAAGCGGAGGAAAAGAAACUAACAAGGAUUCCCCUAGUAACGGCGAGUGAAGCGGGAAGAGCUCAAAUUUGAAAUCUUAAAGGGUUUCCCUUUACGAAUUGUAGUUUAAAGAAGUGUUUUCUGUUGAGGUUUUGGUAAAAGUUCUUUGGAAUAGGACAUCAUAGAGGGUGAGAAUCCCGUAUUUGACCUUUACUUUCAACUUUGUGAUACACUUUCAAAGAGUCGGAUUGUUUGGGAAUGCAGUCCAAAAUGGGUGGUAAAUUUCAUCUAAAGCUAAAUAUUGGCGAGAGACCGAUAGCGAACAAGUACCGUGAGGGAAAGAUGAAAAGAACUUUGAAAAGAGAGUUAAACAGUACGUGAAAUUGUCAAAAGGGAAGCGUUUGACACCAGUGUUGUUUUUCUGAAAAUCAAUUAAAGAACUGUUUAUGCUAAGUUGUUUAGACUUUAUCAGCUAUCUGUUUAGUUUUGAGCUUUUCUUUAAUGCACUUUUCAGUUAACAAGUCAACAUCAAUUUCUCUUUGCUGUAAAAAAGCUUGAGGAAGGUGGCUUGAGAUUCGUCUUAAGUGUUUAUAGCCUCUUGCCUAUGCAGUCGGAGAGAUUGAGGUCUGCAGCGUAGAUCCUUCGGGGCUAAAUGCAUUUGUGCUAAGUUAUAGCAUUUUAUAGACAACUUGUUGACUAUGAUUUGUCUUGUAGCUUACUCGCUUAUGUUAUUUUACCUACGCUUAGGAUGUUGAGCGCAUGUCUCUCUCU